GUAGAGAUGUGGAGGAACACCGAUGGCGAAGGCAGCCCCCUGGGAUGACACUGACGCUCAUGUACGAAAGCGUGGGUGGCAAACAGGAUUAGAUACCCUGGUAGUCCACGCCCUAAACGAUGUCAACUGGUUGUUGGGGGAGUGAAAUCCCUUAGUAACGAAGCUAACGCGUGAAGUUGACCGCCUGGGGAGUACGGUCGCAAGAUUAAAACUCAAAGGAAUUGACGGGGACCCGCACAAGCGGUGGAUGAUGUGGAUUAACUCGAUGCAACGCGAAAAACCUUACCUACCCUUGACAUGUCCGGAAUCCUGCAGAGAUGCGGGAGUGCCCGAAAGGGAAUCGGAACACAGGUGCUGCAUGGCUGUCGUCAGCUCGUGUCGUGAGAUGUUGGGUUAAGUCCCGCAACGAGCGCAACCCUUAUCAUUAGUUGCUACGCAAGGGCACUCUAAUGAGACUGCCGGUGACAAACCGGAGGAAGGUGGGGAUGACGUCAAGUCCUCAUGGCCCUUAUGGGUAGGGCUUCACACGUCAUACAAUGGUCGGUACAGAGGGUUGCCAAGCCGCGAGGUGGAGCCAAUCCCAGAAAGCCGAUCGUAGUCCGGAUUGUUCUCUGCAACUCGAGAGCAUGAAGUCGGAAUCGCUAGUAAUCGCGGAUCAGCAUGUCGCGGCGAAUACGUUCCCGGGUCUUGUACACACCGCCCGUCACACCAUGGGAGUGGAAUCUGCCAGAAGUAGGUAGCCUAACCGCAAGG
rnacentral:rRNA from 1 species